GUUUUAGUGGAGAUGGGAGAGGGAUGGAAGUGGGGGUGAGACUGGUCCCAAGAGAGGCACCACUUCCCCUUGUUUAUGGGGCAUCCUAAUUGGGACACUGUUGUCAGACAGGCUGAUGUGACUUCUAAGGCUCCGUUUCCCUGAGAAGUGUGCAUUUGGGUGUUUGCUUAUGUGCACACAAGGUGUUCAAACUCUGCUGCCUGCCCUGUGGCUUCCUCUGCUGUUUCCUGCCUGAGCGGCCCAGGCUGCCUGGGCUGGCUCGCCCUCCUCCUCCUCCUCCAAACGCAUCUCCGACACCGCAUGAGCGUGGAUGUGCGCCCACCUGUGCUCAGCCCGGCACAAACCCGCAGGUUCGGAGGGCUGGAUGGCAGGAACUUCCCGCUGCCACCCCCUUCUUCUCACUGCUGCUUCCAGCUGAGGAAGAGUCUGAAGGGGUAAAUGAAGUCUCACUUCUACAGAAAAAAAACACCAGGUAUGCUUUUUAUCUUCUCUCUCCUCGGUUCAUAUAAUGGCCAACAGCUGUUACACCUGCCAUAGUGAAAAAAAUUAUAAUUAAUAUACAUCAAAAACAUUGAUUUGGUUUAUUCAAGCAUAAUUUUAAUGAACAUCUCAAAGGGAAAGAAAGAAAUAAAGAAAGAAAGAAAGAAAGAAAGGAAGAAAGAAAAAGAUUUAUACAGCCAAAUCAAUUUCCGUACUGUAAAACUAAACUGAAAUGUUUUCAUUACUGAAAGCAUUUCAUCACUGUAUUUUAAUUGUUAUACUUUUUGGUUGGUGUUUUAUUAUAAAACAAAGAAUUAAAAAAAAACAAAUGUUCAGGAAACAUAUUAUUUAUAGGCAAGCUAGAUUCCUAAUACAACUUAAAAAAUUUAAAUCGUUUCUUAAAUGUUGAUACUGAUCAUAGAUCAUUCGCUGAACACCCAUGGCGAAUAAAAAAUAAAUUAGGCCUACUUAUUUUCUAAACAAUAUGCUCACUGCAACAUGUUUCCAAGUAAAGGCUACCAAGAAGUGAACUAAAGUGAGAAGAGCAUUAUUUUGAAAGAGUAAUAAGAGAGAAGUGUUUUGUGCUCGCUUUAUUUUUAUCUUGCUCGGGAGCUGCGAGAGGAAAUGACAGAUUGAAGGAUUCAGUGGGCGUCUGGUUGUCGCUCGAGUGUCCUGUGUGUAGUUAACACAUGCCCACCGUCGCUCCUCACAGAACACCAAAUGCCAAACGAUUCACUGCUCAAAAUGUCCAAUAACAACCUGCAAGAAAUGUGUCCAAAUACGCUCAUUUUUAUUUCCUAAUUACAC
rnacentral:lncRNA from 1 species